GGCCAAUUACCGGUGCUGCACCAGAGCAAUUUGCCACUAAAUGUUCCAUCCAUGACAUGUUCGGCGGCAGGCGGUUGCCAGUGGCUCCAUUUAUGACCUGAGUCGGAAAUGAAUUUAUAUUUAGUUCUUCUUUAACACUGCUUAUUGUCCCUUUACGUUCUGCAGGAGAUUGUGUGACGAGUGUAACGCAGGUCACGCUCUCUUGGUCUCCACAGUCUUUAAGAAAAACAAUCGCUACUGCAUCGGCUGUGUCUUCCAGUUGGCACGCAGUGAAAGUGGUUCAGCCUAUUUUUUUAAGCAUGCAUGGACUGACGAGCGUGGAAGUAAUUCGUGAUAUACCCAAUCUGACACGACUUAAUGAUGACAUUGAUGACAUAAGCAGUUUUCAAAUUGCUUGUUUAGUAAACUCGGCGGGUAAAACCCCGUCAGUUAAUCCAUGGUCCACCGAGCUCAGGGAGGAAAUAAAACCAUCUUAGCUUCUUCUUGCACGGUGAAGCAUCUCUUUGCACCCUUCAAGACACUGCAUCUUCUGUUUCUGGUCAUCGCCGAGUCCUUACUGAAAAAAAACCCUCUCAACUUGACUGGACUAGAAAACUCGGCCAGACGACAUAGUAGAAGUGUCUUGUAAAUCUGUUGAUAUGGCUCCCUAUUUCCGCCCUGUCGGUGUUUAAUUUGAAGUAAAGAUGCAACUCCUGCUUAAGUGUGGCAGAACAUUCAUCAAGCAUUCCUAGGCAUAUCAGUCACGUCCCGCCCCUAGGUCACAGGUCACUACAGCCCAGCGAUUUUCUGCAGUAUUGAAGGUACUAUUUUUGAAUUAGAUACCAAAUAUGCAAUAACUAAUUGAAAAUAAACAAAAUUGAAAUAACUGAGACUGGCCUUCAGACCUUCAUCGUGAACAUUAAUCCAUUGCACGCAUAACGCUUCCUCUGACACCAGAUUCUUGCAUGUUCAAUAUAAGCUAGGUUACUACAAUUUUAGGCGGAAGCUUAAUGUUAUAGGGAUUAAUUGCGUUUCCCUUGCCGUGUUCCGAUAGAUUUUGGUGAUCUCAACAAAAAACGGCGAUUUCUAUAUUAAUUAACAUGAAUCAGUAAAUUCGCCAAAUUAAGCUUUCCAAAAAUAGUAACUUGCUACUCUUAUGGCUUACGCUGAACUGAUCGAGCACUCGACGGAAUCAUGAGAGAAACCGAAUAGCUACGAGCCCACCCG